AACGAUGAAACUUAGUAGACUUCUUCGGAAAGACACUAAGCGGAUUAGUGGCGAACGGGUGAGUAACGCGUGAGUAACCUGCCUUACACAAGGGGAUAGCCUUUGGAAGCGAAGAAUAAUACCCUAUAAAACCAUAAAAGCACAUGCUAGAAUGGUCAAAGUGAUAGCGGUGUAAGAUGGACUUGCGUCUGAUUAGCUAGUUGGUGAGAUAAAAGCUCACCAAGGCAACGAUCAGUAGCCGGCUUGAGAGAGUGUACGGCCACAUUGGGACUGAGACACGGCCCAGACUCCUACGGGAGGCAGCAGUGGGGAAUUUUGCACAAUGGGGGAAACCCUGAUGCAGCGACGCCGCGUGAUUUAGAAGGCCUUCGGGUUGUAAAAAUCUUUUGUAUAGGAAGAAAAUGACAGUACUAUACGAAUAAGGUCCGGCUAAUUACGUGCCAGCAGCCGCGGUAAUACGUAAGGACCGAGCGUUGUCCGGAAUCAUUGGGCGUAAAGGGUACGUAGGCGGCUAGAAAAGUUAGAAGUCAAAGGCUAUAGCUCAACUAUAGUAAGCUUCUAAAACUAUUUAGCUUGAGAAAUGGAAGGGAAAGUGGAAUUCCUAGUGUAGCGGUGGAAUGCGCAGAUAUUAGGAAGAAUACCGGUGGCGAAGGCGACUUUCUGGCCAUUAUCUGACGCUGAGGUACGAAAGCGUGGGUAGCAAACAGGAUUAGAUACCCUGGU
rnacentral:rRNA from 1 species